GUGCCGUCCAAGACCCUCCAGUAUCGAUUCGGAGUGCACUAGAACACUGAUGAUUUAUAAACCAAAUAGAUUUCUGCUUCCUCUGGUUUUUGCUCUGGGGAUUCGAAAUCGAACUUGAACCUUUAGUUUGGCAAACUGCCGUAAAAUGUUAAAAAGAGAGUAAGCAGGCCAAGAUUUAGUGCAAAUUCUAUGUAAUGCUCUACUUAAUUCAGCAAAAACAUUUUGUGACAGUGCUUUAUAAGAUGAAACAUGAAUAUAGGUGUUUGAUUUAUUCUAUAUUGACCCGAAUCAACAUUUGCAGUAGACUCAAAUAGCUCAAACAGUAACUUGCAUGUCUACUUUAAUUUCGAUCAUGUAAAUUUGUAGAAUUAAGUUAGAUUUCAAGUUUAGGUCAUUUUGUCAUCUGGUUAAUCGGUAUUAAUCAAAUUUUUUUAAUCUUUUAAUCAUUAACUGAAUUGAAAUUUUUUCAAAAAUAAUUAAUCGAAUCGAAAUAUUUUGAUUAAUUUGGUCAGUUAAUUAAAUUAAUUAAAAUUUUUAUGAUUUUAUUUUUUAGAUAAAACAAGUAUAAAACAUAUUAAAAAAUUCUAAAUUGAUAAUGUUCAUUUGAUCGAAUUAUUUAAAUUAAUUAAAUUAAAAUUAUAUAUAAUUUGUAUUUAUUAAUUAUUAAAUUCAGUUAAUUUGAUUAAUUAUUCUAUUUUAAAUCAAAUGAACCAAUAAUUGAAUUUUAAAAAAAAUAUUACCCGACUUCCAGGUUUUGAAAACUCAAAUUUCGGUUAUUACAUGUUUGAAUCAUUUUAAAUUCAACUAAUUUGAAAUAUUUAUUCAAAUUAUUUUUACUCCAACUGUUGAUGAUGAAAUCGUUUCAGAGUUGGAUGCGGGACAAAUUCCAGUAAUCUGACUUUGAUCAAAAUCAGAUCAUAUUUUUGAGUUUACAUCAACUUUGAAAAAUCUUUUAACCUAACUCAAGUUUUUAUUUGAAUUUUCAUAUAAAAAAAAGAAAAAAAUAUAUAUAUUCACUGUUGUGAACAAACUAGUCAUAAACUGAAAUAGGUGAAGUAGAUCAGAUCAGACAAGCUUUGUAGGCUGCAAGCAAUUCAAUAGAACUACUAAACUUGAGAGCUCAGUGCAUAUUUCGUCAUCAUAACAUGUAUUAGAAACAAGGCUUUUAUAAACUCAAAACCAAAACCAAUAUUUUCCUCCUUUUUUUGCAAAAAAGGGAUCCUCGGUGUUUUUGCUUGUAGUCUUCAUCAAACAAAAUACAUGAUCAGGUCUGGAGCUCCCCUUAAGUUUAAAAACUCAAACAAAAAAUUUUUAGAAAAAAAUUCAGUAAAAUUGGGUGUAAAAAGAAAAAUGGGUUUAGCAGGAUGUUAUUCACUGCACCUGGUAAUACAAAGAUUAAAGGCGAAGCGACUCAAUUUCCUGCAAAUAAUAUAUGCCUCUUUGAAGAACAAACGUGAUGGGUAAAAUUCCCUUAUAAAUAUGAUCAUCAAAUUACAGGGACCCCAUCAAGAGGCAGCUUCUGGAAAUUUUCUCCAUAGGAAACUUUGAAGAAAAAGAAAAAAGAC
rnacentral:lncRNA from 1 species